GAUGAACGCUGGCGGCGUGCCUAAUACAUGCAAGUAGAACGCUGAAGGAGGAGCUUGCUCUUCUGGAUGAGUUGCGAACGGGUGAGUAACGCGUAGGUAACCUGCCUGGUAGCGGGGGAUAACUAUUGGAAACGAUAGCUACUACCGCAUGACAACCGUUAUUGCAUGAUAACUGUUUAAAAGGGGCAACUGCUCCACUACCAGAUGGACCUGCGUUGUAUUAGGUAGUUGGUGAGGUAACGGCUCACCAAGGCGACGAUACAUAGCCGACCUGAGAGGGUGGACGGCCAAACUGGGAAUGAGACACGGCCCAGACUCCUACGGGAAGCAGCAGUAGGGAAACUUCGGCAAUGGACGGAAGGCUGACCGAGCAACGCCGCGGGAGUGAAGAAGGUUUUCGGAUCGUAAAGCUCUGUUGUAAGAGAAGAACGAGUGUGAGAGUGGAAAGUUCACACUGUGACGGUAUCUUACCAGAAAGGGACGGCUAACUACGUG
rnacentral:rRNA from 1 species